rnacentral:rRNA from 1 species
GACGAACCGUACAAACGUUAUUCGGAAUCACUGGGCUUAAAGGGUGCGUAGGCGGCGCGGAAAGUUGGGUGUGAAAUCCCUCGGCUCAACCGAGGAACUGCGCCCAAAACUGCCGUGCUUGAGGGAGACAGAGGUGAGCGGAACUAAGGGUGGAGCGGUGAAAUGCGUUGAUAUCCUUAGGAACACCGGUGGCGAAAGCGGCUCACUGGGUCUCUUCUGACGCUGAGGCACGAAAGCUAGGGGAGCGAACGGG